ACUCAAGAACAUUGUUUAGAUGACACUCUAGAGAUGAACUCUUCUCUAGGCCUAGUGACUAUGGUUCUUUUCCUGCUUGGAGAAACAAAUGGAGACUCAGUGAUCCAGAGGGGAGGCCUACUGACCUUUCCAGAGGGUGCUUCCCUGACUAUCAACUGCAAUUAUUCAGUUGUAGGGUACCCUACACUCUUUUGGUAUGUUCAAUAUCCUGGAGAAGGUCCAAAGCUCCUCCUGAAAGCGCAGAGGGACAAAGAUAUUGGGAGAGAGAAAGGUUUUGAAGCCACGUACCGUCAAGACUCAAAAUCCUUUCACCUGAAGAAAGCGGCAGUGCAAGAGUCAGACUCAGCUGUGUACUAUUGUGCUGCGAGCGACACAGUGAUAGGACCUGCAGGGGGAGCAGAACACAAACCUGAGCAGGAACAGGGUCUGAAGCUGAGAGUUUCAAGCAUUGUGGUGCAAAUUGAUUCCAGCACAUUCUCUGUUUGA